GACGAACGCUGGCGGCGUGCCUAACACAUGCAAGUCGAGCGGAGAUAAGAAGCUUGCUUCUUAUCUUAGCGGCGGACGGGUGAGUAACGCGUGGGUAACUUGCCCUAUACAGGGGGAUAACACAGAGAAAUUUGUGCUAAUACCGCAUAAAGUCAUAGAUGGGCAUCCAUAGAUGACCAAAGGAGAAAUCCGGUAUGGGAUAGACCCGCGUCCGAUUAGCUAGUUGGUGGGGUAACGGCUCACCAAGGCGACGAUCGGUAGCCGAACUGAGAGGUUGAACGGCCACAUUGGGACUGAGACACGGCCCAGACUCCUACGGGAGGCAGCAGUGGGGAAUAUUGCGCAAUGGGGGAAACCCUGACGCAGCAACGCCGCGUGAAGGAUGAAGGUUUCCGGAUUGUAAACUUCUUUGAUUGGGGACGAAACAAAUAACGGUACCCAAAGAACAAGCCACGGCUAACUACGUGCCAGCAGCCGCAGUAACAC
rnacentral:rRNA from 1 species